GCACAGAUGAAGUGCUUGGUUUUAUGCAAAUCAGAAGUCUCAAACCAUCCCUGUCCCAUUAGCACGGCACAUCAAACACCACAAGCUUAUUUUUGGUUCAUCUGAAGGCUGAGGAUUUACACCACUAACAACAGCCACGCAUCUGGUCACAUACACUCAGGAAAUGAACAACUCUGCAUGAACCGAAGAGAGCGAGGGUGCAAUAAAAACAUAUCCUGCAAAGGGAUCUGUGAGGGGAAAUGGGAGGAGAGCUCAGCUUGCAAGAGAAGAACAAAGCCUGUCUCUCCCCAGACUCCACUCUUCAGCAAAAUACCACACAGGAAAGGCCCUGAAAUCCAAAACAUCACUGAGGAGAUAUUUCAGUCUGUGUGAAGGUCAACACCCAGGGUGCUGAGAGGGCACCAAGAGGCACAUCAUGACAAAGCCUGGCCUUCCUGCAGAGACUGGACCUGGGCCCCAGAAAUGCUCAUGAAGGCGCUGAGCUUCUCCCAUCAUCCAAAGACUUAAAGUAAGCAGUCAAGGCAGUAUCUACUUCUGAAGUAAGAAACUUCACGUUUUAUUUGACUUUGCGAUGUGUAGUUUGCACCUUUGUUUCUGUAACCACAGACAUCUUUUGGAAACAGAGUUAAGCAGCAAGCAAGCCCAGAAGGUCUGGGAGAAGAUACAAGAGUGUGUCUCUUAGUAUUCCUGAUAACCCCAAAGCAAAACAGAGAUAUAAAAUAUGUAAGAUUUCUUUAUCACAUUAUGAUGGGGUGAGAAGGAGCUUCAAUUCCAUCAUUGGGGUUGGUGGGCUUCUUUUCCCUCCAGGACUUCACUCUUACCCACCUGAGGUAGAAAAAAGCUUCACCAACAUGACUGGAAUGUGUGUUUCCAGAAGGAAAAUCAGGACAAGGCAGCCACUGGAUGGGUCGAGUAGUAAAUGCACCUACCCUUGCUUAAAGAGCAUUGAAUGAUGACAUUUUGGUGACUUUGGCUGUUUUGGUGACAUAGUAUAUCUAGUGAUGCCAUGAAAGUGAUCUUCCUGUUUGCAGAGAGAUGCACGCACUAUAAGACAUGUGCUUUACUGAUAUCUUGGCCACCUGCUGUCUUGCUUUAUCUGAUUAACAUUUCUUUGAUUUUUCAUGUAACCAGUAUAUCCAUUCCCACAGUUAAUACCAUGGCAUACAUGGUAUGCAUGGACAUGUUUUAUUCAUAUAUUUAGAGACCUAGAACUACAAUUAUUUUAAAAUAAUUAGCCAUGGCAGAGGAGAACUAAAUCAAAUGAUAAGCAAACAUGGUGAAACAUAAAAUGGAUUAUUUCCUCUCUCAUGUUACCAAUAAAUGGCAAAAAAUUUUGAUGUGUUUGGCAGUGCUCCACUUCCUUUACUUCACAGCUGUGAGAAAUGAGAGAGGUAUUUUGUGAUAAUGCAGGCAUACUACAUCUAAAAACAAAUACAGCAUUAUCUCUCCUUUGCCUAGAAGAAAAUGAGAGCAAAGUUAAACUCACAUCUUCAGAACAGUGCCGACAGAUCAUUGAACACAUGCAGACAGGAGUGGUGCUUGGGUCACUCAGGCUAAUGGUGCUAUUUGUGGAGAUGAUUCAAAGUGCUCCAAGUCUAUAACCACCUAAUUGGCCUCAGUGGACUUCAGAUCUCUGCUUCCUCAUGACAAAGUAGACAGAUGAGGUGGUAUAUCGCUCCUCAGACCUGGAUGAGAUGCAUACUUCUAUUUGAGAAAUCAAAAGUCAUAACAGAAUUAGGUGCUUGAAGACUCCUGACAGAAAAAGGCUAAAGAAGAUAAGAAAAAUUGCACACAGCAGCAAAAACAGACUGUGAAUAUUGAAAGCAGGACCCUGGAUGAAUAUUUUAAACACAAGCUCGAUUUUCAAGUUUUGAUUUAGCCUCUGCAUGUGAUCACAUCUGCCAGGUGAUCCAACCCACUGACGCUACCUGCCCACCUAAGGGAAGUUGAUCUCCCUGGCUGAAGGAUCAGGAGGAGUACUGCCAACCUGGACAGGGUUUCUCAUCUUGAACCAGGAGACAGGAAGAGUAUGUUCACAUUGUGAAAUGCAACAUCAGGUGGAAGAGCAGUACUGGGAGAGAGACCUUACUUUGCCCUACCACUCAGCAUCAUGCUGCAGCAGGGAGAGGGCUAUGGUCCCUCUGGUACUCCUUAUUCUCCAUGUAGAGAGCAGCAGAUGGCAGUGAUCAGAUCCAGCCUUGCUGAUCUUGCACCACCAUGGAUAUGGAGCAGCCACAUGGUGAGAGCACUGGAAAAGAAGCUUAAAAUCUGCUCUAGCUGUUUCCCAGCAGGUGUUUACUUCCUCCCAGCUGACAAGCGUGACUUGCUCUACAAACACACACACCCCUUUGUGGACAAAGUCAAGCAAGCAAACCUUCGGCAGCAAUUUAAGUUUGUGUGACUUUGCUCUUAGACACUUUAAGAGCAAUUAUAUGGCAGGUAACUGCCUCUCCACUGGGAGGUGGCAACAAAGGGCUGGGAGUUCAAAGAUGUGACAGAGUCAUUUAUUCAGUUAUGAUAAUAACCAGGGUGUAAAUUACAACAGACUGUGAAACAGAAUUGCUAUUAGAUUUAACAGCAGAUGGGUAAUUGUUCCCAAUCCCGACAAUACUGAAACAUGCACCUCAAUGAUAUCAACCCCAUGUGAAAUGAGUGGGCUCAAGCUCAAAGCCUCCAGUGUGGAUUUAGUUAUAAGUGCAGAAACCAGGGACAUCCCUGAGCAAGCUGAGAUGGAUGGAUGGCUGUAUAAGGUGAGGAGCUGCAGCUGGAUGAGGCAUAAAACCAAGGCCCUGAUUAUGGCGUCCACUCAUCAAAGCUCUUAUCAUUUUAACUUUCAAAGAAAAGAACAUGACGCCUUGUUUCCUAUUUUAAUCCAGGUCAUUAACUAAUUUUUCCCUUUCAGUGUAAAUAGUUUUCCUUUGUGGUGGCAUUCUGUGCUGCUGGGUGCCCUGACAGUGCUACACUGGUGUCUUCCCUGACUGAAGUCACAGUAAGGGAAAAUAAUUUUAGCCAAAACAUUUUUUGUCAGUGAUAUCUUGGUUGAAAAUCCCUCUACAUCUAUCUCUCAGCUGUAAAUCUGCCCCAACACUUCCUGUAAUCUUUGUCAUGAAGCUCCACUGCACACAAAUCAAAUCAAGAGAAGCUUUCACUGGUGUGGAAUACAACAGAGAGCAUUUCCCAGGCUGUAUGUCCUGAUUAAAUGCAUUUUGCUCCCAAAUUUCCAGCACAGUUUAGAUUUUUAUGUGCUGUUCUGUUGCAAAAAUAGUCCUUACUCAAGACCAGUCUGCAGUCUUCAGAACUAUCACAGUGUUAAAUGGAACCUGGAAUACCUAUACCAGAGAUAAUUCCAUCACAGAUCAUUCCCCUCUGUUGGUGAAAGCUCGGUUUUGGCCACCUAUAGAGCCACUAUCCAGCUAUCUGUGUGAAUGUACAGGAAAGCACAUGUAUGUAUUAAGUUGAGAACAACCAGUUUCACUUCACAGCAGAUGUUAACAGCCUGGUGCUCCUAGCCAAAUACCUGAUACAUUGUUCCAUGUUUAUUAACCACCAAUUUAUAGGCCAGAUAUUUAGCCAGUGCACAUCUGGACUGCUCUGCUGAGGUUGCUCCUCUGUAUUAAGCAAGCUGCAGUCUGUAGCAUAUCUCACAUUACCUAACAUUCUCAUAUUUAUAAAUAAAGUAUUUUAGACAGAUAGAAGCAUUCUUUAAUGUUUUGACUGGAAAGCAGAGCACUGUCGUCUUUUGAAAUGUGUGUUAGAGUGGCAGGGACAGGACAGAUAGUGAGUGAAAAUAUACAGUGGGGUUUUAUUUUCUUGCAUCCAUGCAUAACUGAUCCAAAGAUUCUAGAGUAUGGAACGUAAAGUGCUGCUCAGCACUGACAAAAGCACCAGGUGUUACCUGAUGAAAAGAAAUUGGUUCAGAGUUGCAGAAACAAGACAUUUCAAAUGUCCUCAGGCUUUCCUCUGUGAAAUCAAACACUUAUCAUAGAAUACUGAGGUUACCAAAUUCACACUACAUCUCACUGAAGCAUAUGUUUUUGAACCAAAAGGCCACAGUGUUCAGUGUGAGGUCACCAAUAGCUGUAACACCCAGCGCACCCCAUACAAGAAUGAGCCAGUCACCUUAUAUGAGUCAGUCAUGAGUGACCUGGCUUGUCACUUCAGAUAAUUUUCACAAACAGACCAGUCAGGACCUGUGGAUCCAAUUGUUGGUAUACCUUAGUUGAGCAGAGUUUGCAAACCAGGACUUGAUGGGCCAGAUUGACCAGCCCCUUAUGUCUCCCAUGUGCUGAUGAAACUCCACCAACACUGCUGGUUGUACAUGGAGGUACUUGGAGGGGCUGCCAGAGGGUUUCCACCAAAAUGCAUUCAAUGGGAAUUUUAA